rnacentral:snRNA from 1 species
AUCGCUUCUCGGCCUUUUGGCUAAGAUCAAGUGUAGCUCCCACUUAUGAGAACAUGUAGUAUUUGGUUUUCUGUUCUUGCGUUAGUUUGCUCAGGAUAUCAGGAUGUUCUGACAUCAGACUGAGUUAGGCAAAUAUCCCAGGUAGU